rnacentral:rRNA from 1 species
CGCGUAGGCGGUCCGCUAAGUUGGAUGUGAAAACUCUGGGCUUAACCCAGAGCCUGCAUUCAAAACUGACGGGCUAGAGUUCUGGAGGGGGUAGCGGAAUUCCUGGUGUAGCGGUGAAAUGCGUAGAUAUCAGGAGGAACACCGGUGGCGAAGGCGGCUACCUGGACAGAAACUGACGCUGAGGCGCGAAAGCUAGGGGAAGCAAACA